rnacentral:rRNA from 1 species
GAUGAACGCUAGCGAUAGGCUUAACACAUGCAAGUCGAGGGGCAGCAUGGUCUUAGCUUGCUAAGACUGAUGGCGACCGGCGCACGGGUGCGUAACGCGUAUGCAACUUGCCUCACAGAGGGGGAUAACCCGUCGAAAGACGGACUAAUACCGCGUACACUUGGGAUAGGGCAUCCUGACCCAAGGAAAUGAAAUUCGCUGUGAGAUAGGCAUGCGUCCCAUUAGCUAGUUGGUGAGGUAACGGCUCACCAAGGCGACGAUGGGUAGGGGAACUGAGAGGUUGAACCCCCACACUGGUACUGAGACACGGACCAGACGCCUACGGGAGGCAGCAGUGAGGAAUAUUGGUCAAUGGGCGAGAGCCUGAACCAGCCAAGUCGCGUGAAGGAUGACUGUCUUAUGGAUUGUAAACUUCUUUUAUACGGGAAUAACAAGAGUCACGUGUGGCUCCCUGCAUGUACCGUAUGAAUAAGCAUCGGCUAACUCCGUG